GUGUCAGCCGCCGCGGUAAUACGGAGGGGGCUAGCGUUGUUCGGAAUUACUGGGCGUAAAGCGCACGUAGGCGGACCAGAAAGUUGGGGGUGAAAUCCCAGGGCUCAACCUUGGAACUGCCUUCAAAACUCCUGGUCUUGAGUUCGAGAGAGGUGAGUGGAAUUCCGAGUGUAGAGGUGAAAUUCGUAGAUAUUCGGAGGAACACCAGUGGCGAAGGCGGCUCACUGGCUCGAUACUGACGCUGAGGUGCGAAAGCGUGGGGAGCAAACAGGAUUAGAAACCCUCGUAGUCC
rnacentral:rRNA from 1 species